rnacentral:rRNA from 1 species
UUCCGCGUGCAGGACGAAGGCCUUCGGGUUGUAAACUGCUUUUGUACGGAACGAAAAGGUCUCUAUUAAUACUAGGGGCUCAUGACGGUACCGUAAGAAUAAGCACCGGCUAACUACGUGCCAGCAGCCGCGGUAAUACGUAGGGUGCAAGCGUUAAUCGGAAUUACUGGGCGUAAAGCGUGCGCAGGCGGUUAUAUAAGACAGAUGUGAAAUCCCCGGGCUCAACCUGGGAACUGCAUUUGUGACUGUAUAGCUGGAGUGCGGCAGAGGGGGAUGGAAUUCCGCGUGUAGCAGUGAAAUGCGUAUAUAUGCGGAGGAACACCGAUGGCGAAGGCAAUCCCCUGGGCCUGCACUGACGCUCAUGCACGAAAGCGUGGGGAGCAAACAGGAUUAGAUACCCUGGUAGUCCACGCCCUAAACGAUGUCAACUGGUUGUUGGGUCUUCACUGACUCAUUAACGAAGCUAACGC